GGUUUGGCCGCGGAGCCUCACGAGUCUCUCUCUCUCUGUUGGUUGCUACUGCAGAGCUGUGGAAUGCUGUGAAGACUCCCUGCCCUGCAGCCCUAGGCAGACUCCUCUCCAGAUCAUCCCCAUCCAAAGGAAGCUCAUCUCCAAGAGAGUUCCCCGUCUUCCACCAUGAACCCCGUUUACAGCCCCGUCCAACCUGGGGCUCCCUACGGCAACCCGAAGAACAUGGCCUAUACAGGUCUAAUGCUCUUGUUCCUGGAAGCGGAGGGGAGUAAUUAGCAUUCCAGCCGAGGAACCAGUUACUAUGGCAGUGCCUAUUGAUGAAACGCGGUUGAUACAAGUGAGCUAAUUCAAACCAGCCCAAGGCCAUAUGUUUAGAUCUGUCUUUUG